rnacentral:rRNA from 1 species
AUACGGAGGGUGCAAGCGUUAUUCGGAAUCACUGGGCGUAAAGGACGCGUAGGCGGGUUGGCAAGUCAGAUGUGAAAUCCUACAGCUUAACUGUAGAACUGCAUUUGAAACUGCUAACCUAGAGUAUGAGAGGGGGAGAUGGAAUUAGUGGUGUAGGGGUAAAAUCCGUAGAUAUCACUAGGAAUACCGAAAGCGAAGGCGAUCUCCUGGAACAUAACUGACGCUAAGGCGUGAAAGCGUGGGGAGCAAACAGCAUUAGAAACCCUAGUAGUCC